rnacentral:rRNA from 1 species
UACAGAGGGUGCAAGCGUUAAUCGGAAUUACUGGGCGUAAAGCGUGCGUAGACGGUCAUGUAAGUCGGGUGUGAAAGCCCCGGGCUCAACCUGGGAAUUGCAUUCGAGACUGCAUGGCUAGGGUGCGGAAGAGGGAAGCGGAAUUUCCGGUGUAGCGGUGAAAUGCGUAGAUAUCGUCUGGAACGCCAAAGGUGAAAACAGCUCGCUGGGGCUGCGCUGACGCUGAGACACGAAAGCCAGGGGAGCGAACGGG